AUGAAAACCAGAAACUUUAGAGAUAGUUCCAAAUCCUCAAAGUUUCUGAUCUGGUUGGCCAGGGAACAGGCUCAGAGCAAGAAAUUUGUGUGUGGAAGAUUUACUGGAUACUGCUCUUAGGAAAAGCAUCUGUGAAAGGAAGAGAGGAGAGGAGGAUUGGACAGCAGACCUGAGGUGAUCCUUCAAAAUUGUCUAGAAUUGAGGAGCUCGCUGAAGGAAGUUAUAAAAUCCAUGACUUAAUAAUGGAGAUACUAUUUUUCUUGAACGUAAACAAUCUUCAUGUUUGCCACUUGCAAUGGACUGAAUUAUGUCUCUCCCAAAUUGAUGUAUUGAAGCUCUAACUCUCAAAGUGAUUCUAUCUAAGGAUAGGAUAUUUAAAAGCGAGAACACAGUGAGUGAGAAGGUGGCCAUCUGCAAACAAGGGAAAGAGCUCUCAUCAGACCUCAACACACCGGCAUUCUGAUUUCGGACUUCCAGCCACCCAAACCAUGAGAAAAUAAAUUUCUGUUAUUUAAGACAUCCAGGGUAUGGUAUUUUGUUAUAGCUGACUAAUACCAAGCUGAGUAAUCCUGAGCUGAAUAAUACUCAACUUCUAGGCUAGUUCAUAAAAGCAUGAAUAAAUACUCAACUUCUAGGCCAACUUCUAGGCCUAGUUCAUAAAAGCAUGAAUAAAUACUCAACUUCUA
rnacentral:lncRNA from 1 species